ACCUUGAUCAUUUGGUUUAUACUGAAGACACACAAGCAACGCAAAGUGAAUUUAUCAGCUACAGUUAAGGCUGAAGAUGAAGUAACGUACUGUGAGGUUGCAUACAGGAGAAGAACUUCAGUGCAGGUAAUAAUUAUAGUGUCAAUAAAUCUUAAAGUUUUCUGUGAAGGU